GACGAGGUAUUCCGUGCUAUACAUGCAAGUCGAACGAACUCUGGUAUUGAUUGGUGCUUGCAUCAUGAUUUACAUUUGAGUGAGUGGCGAACUGGUGAGUAACACGUGGGAAACCUGCCCAGAAGCGGGGGAUAACACCUGGAAACAGAUGCUAAUACCGCAUAACAACUUGGACCGCAUGGUCCGAGUUUGAAAGAUGGCUUCGGCUAUCACUUUUGGAUGGUCCCGCGGCGUAUUAGCUAGAUGGUGGGGUAACGGCUCACCAUGGCAAUGAUACGUAGCCGACCUGAGAGGGUAAUCGGCCACAUUGGGACUGAGACACGGCCCAAACUCCUACGGGAGGCAGCAGUAGGGAAUCUUCCACAAUGGACGAAAGUCUGAUGGAGCAACGCCGCGUGAGUGAAGAAGGGUUUCGGCUCGUAAAACUCUGUUGUUAAAGAAGAACAUAUCUGAGAGUAACUGUUCAGGUAUUGACGGUAUUUAACCAGAAAGCCACGGCUAACUACGUGCCAGCAGCCGCGGUAAUACGUAGGUGGCAAGCGUUGUCCGGAUUUAUUGGGCGUAAAGCGAGCGCAGGCGGUUUUUUAAGUCUGAUGUGAAAGCCUUCGGCUCAACCGAAGAAGUGCAUCGGAAACUGGGAAACUUGAGUGCAGAAGAGGACAGUGGAACUCCAUGUGUAGCGGUGAAAUGCGUAGAUAUAUGGAAGAACACCAGUGGCGAAGGCGGCUGUCUGGUCUGUAACUGACGCUGAGGCUCGAAAGUAUGGGUAGCAAACAGGAUUAGAUACCCUGGUAGUCCAUACCGUAAACGAUGAAUGCUAAGUGUUGGAGGGUUUCCGCCCUUCAGUGCUGCAGCUAACGCAUUAAGCAUUCCGCCUGGGGAGUACGGGCCGCAAGGCUGAAACUCAAAGGAAUUGACGGGGGCCCGCACAAGCGGUGGAGCAUGUGGUUUAAUUCGAAGCUACGCGAAGAACCUUACCAGGUCUUGACAUACUAUGCAAAUCUAAGAGAUUAGACGUUCCCUUCGGGGACAUGGAUACAGGUGGUGCAUGGUUGUCGUCAGCUCGUGUCGUGAGAUGUUGGGUUAAGUCCCGCAACGAGCGCAACCCUUAUUAUCAGUUGCCAGCAUUAAGUUGGGCACUCUGGUGAGACUGCCGGUGACAAACCGGAGGAAGGUGGGGAUGACGUCAAAUCAUCAUGCCCCUUAUGACCUGGGCUACACACGUGCUACAAUGGAUGGUACAACGAGUUGCGAACUCGCGAGAGUAAGCUAAUCUCUUAAAGCCAUUCUCAGUUCGGAUUGUAGGCUGCAACUCGCCUACAUGAAGUCGGAAUCGCUAGUAAUCGCGGAUCAGCAUGCCGCGGUGAAUACGUUCCCGGGCCUUGUACACACCGCCCGUCACACCAUGAGAGUUUGUAACACCC
rnacentral:rRNA from 1 species